AUCUUCUUCACAAGACCUAGUAAUAGGUAUGCUUUAGGAGGGGCUUGCGCCAUAUUAGUUAGUUGGUAGGGUAAUGGCCUACCAAGACGAUGAUGUGUAGCUGGACUGAGAGGUUGAACAGCCACAUUGGGACUGAGACACGGCCCAAACUCCUACGGGAGGCAGCAGUAGGGAAUYUUCGGCAAUGGAGGAAACUCUGACCGAGCAACGCCGCGUGAAUGACGAAGUACUUCGGUAUGUAAAGUUCUUUUAUCAAGGAAGAAAAGCAAAUGGCGAACCAUUUGUUUGCCGGUACUUGAUGAAUAAGCCCCGGCUAAUUAUGUGCCAGCAGCCGCGGUAAGACAUAAGGGGCAAGUGUUAUCCGGAAUUAUUGSGCGUAAAGGGUGCGUAGGCGGUCUAGUAAGUCAGUGGUGUAAUGGCAACGCUUAACGUUGUCCGGCUAUUGAAACUGCUAAACUUGAGUUAGAUAGAGGCGAGUGGAAUUCCAUGUGUAGCGGUAAAAUGCGUAAAUAUAUGGAGGAACACCAGAGGCGUAGGCGGCUCGCUGGGUCUUAACUGACGCUGAGGCACGAAAGCGUGGGGAGCAAACAGGAUUAGAUACCCUGGUAGUCCACGCCGUAAACGAUGAGUACUAAGUGUCGGGUUAAACCGGUACUGAAGUUAACACAUUAAGUACUCCGCCUGAGUAGUACGUACGCAAGUAUGAAACUUAAAGGAAUUGACGGGACUCCGCACAAGCGGUGGAUCAUGUUGUUUAAUUCGAAGAUACCCGAAAAACCUUACCAGGUCUUGACAUGUUUUUGCAAAAUGAUAGUAAUAUCGUGGAGGUUACCAGAAACACAGGUGGUGCAUGGUUGUCGUCAGCUCGUGUCGUGAGAUGUUAGGUUAAGUCCUAAAACGAGCGAAACCCUUAUCGUUAGUUGCCAGCACGUUAUGGUGGGGACUUUAACGAKACUGCCAAUGAUAAAUUGGAGGAAGGUGASGAUCACGUCAAAUCAKCAUGCCCCUUAUGACCUGGGCUACAARCGUGAUACAAUGGCUGUUACAAAGGGUAGCUGAAACGCAAGUUCUUGGCCAAUCCCCAAAAACAGUCCCAGUCCGGAUUGAAGUCUGCAACUCGACUUCAUGAAGUUGGAAUCGCUAGUAAUCGCGAAUCAGCA
rnacentral:rRNA from 1 species